GCGGAGGAAAAGAAAAUAACAAUGAUUCCCCUAGUAACGGCGAGUGAAGAGGGAAAAGCUCAAAGUUGGAACCUGGUAGGCAUAGCUUACCCGGAUUGUAAACUAAAGUUUUCGAGUCGUUUAGUCAGCCAGGUAAAUAAGUCCUCUGGAAAGGGGCGACAUAGAGGGUGAAAUCCCCGUCUUUGGCCUGAGUUUUGAUUAGGCGUUUGGCUUGGAAACGAAGAGUCAGGUUGUUUGGGAAUGCAGCCUAAAAUGGGAGGUAAAUCUCUCCUAAAGCUAAAUAUUGACGAAAGACCGAUAGCGAACAAGUACCGUGAGGGAAAGAUGAAAAGCACUUUGAAAAGAGGGUCAAAAAGUACGUGAAAUUGCUGAAAGGGAACCGUAUGAAAUCAGACCUACUGGUAGGUAAUCAAUCUUUCCUUUGGGAAGGAUGCACUUGCCUACUAUGUAUGCCAGCGACAUUUUGGUUGGGAGGAAAAAAAUAAAGGAAAUGUAGCUUAGGUUUCGGCUUAGGUGUUAUAGUCCUUUAUAAAAUACUCUCGGCUGGAAUGAGGAACGCAGCAAACCGUAAGGCGAAGAUUUCAGGCGCUUAGAGGGAAUAAUUAGAGAAUUUCUGCUUCGGGUGGUGCUUUGAUUAUUACCUUUAACACGCUUGGAGUUCUUUUAAUUUGCUUAGGUUGUUGGCUUAAUGAUUUUAUAUGAC
rnacentral:rRNA from 1 species